rnacentral:rRNA from 1 species
UACGUAGGGUGCAAGCGUUAAUCGGAAUUACUGGGCGUAAAGCGUGCGCAGGCGGUUAUGUAAGACAGGUGUGAAAUCCCCGGGCUUAACCUGGGAACUGCAUUUGUGACUGCAUAGCUAGAGUACGGUAGAGGGGGAGUGGAAUUCCGCGUGUAGCAGUGAAAUGCGUAGAUAUGCGGAGGAACACCGAUGGCGAAGGCAAUCCCCUGGACCUGUACUGACGCUCAUGCACGAAAGCGUGGGGAGCAAACAGG